rnacentral:rRNA from 1 species
GAUAACUCCGGGAAACCGGGGCUAAUACCGAAUAAUCUAUUUUACUUCAUGGUGAAAUACUGAAAGACGGUUUCGGCUGUCGCUAUAAGAUGGGCCCGCGGCGCAUUAGCUAGUUGGUGAGGUAACGGCUCACCAAGGCGACGAUGCGUAGCCGACCUGAGAGGGUGAUCGGCCACACUGGGACUGAGACACGGCCCAGACUCCUACGGGAGGCAGCAGUAGGGAAUCUUCCACAAUGGGCGAAAGCCUGAUGGAGCAACGCCGCGUGAGUGAAGAAGGUUUUCGGAUCGUAAAACUCUGUUGUAAGGGAAGAACAAGUACAGUAGUGAACUGGCUGUACCUUGACGGUACCUUAUUAGAAAGCCACGGCUAACUACGUGCCAGCAGCCGCGGUAAUACGUAGGUGGCAAGCGUUGUCCGGAAUUAUUGGGCGUAAAGCGCGCGCAGGCGGUCCUUUAAGUCUGAUGUGAAAGCCCACGGCUCAACCGUGGAGGGUCAUUGGAAACUGGGGGACUUGAGUGCAGAAGAGGAAAGUGGAAUUCCAAGUGUAGCGGUGAAAUGCGUAGAGAUUUGGAGGAACACCAGUGGCGAAAGGCGACUUUCUGGUCUGUAACUGACGCUGAGGCGCGAAAGCGUGGGGAGCAAACAGGAUUAGAUACC